rnacentral:rRNA from 1 species
UAGGGAAUCUUCGGCAAUGGGGGCAACCCUGACCGAGCAACGCCGCGUGAGUGAAGAAGAUCUUCGGAUCGUAAAACUCUGUUGUUAGAGAAGAACACGAGUGAGAGUAACUGUUCAUUCGAUGACGGUAUCUAACCAGCAAGUCACGGCUAACUACGUGUCAG